GCAGUCGAGCGAGCCGAACUAAUUGAUUACCUUCGGGUAUGAAGUUAGGGAAGCGAGCGGCGGAUGGGUGAGUAACACGUGGGUAACCUACCCUAUAGUCUGGGAUACCACUUGGAAACAGGUGCUAAUACCGGAUAAAAGGAGAGAUCACAUGAUUUCUUUUUGAAAGGCGGCGUAAGCUGUCGCUAAAGGAUGGACCCGCGGUGCAUUAGCUAGUUGGUAAGGUAACGGCUUACCAAGGCAACGAUGCAUAGCCGAGUUGAGAGACUGAUCGGCCACAUUGGGACUGAGACACGGCCCAAACUCCUACGGGAGGCAGCAGUAGGGAAUCUUCCACAAUGGACGCAAGUCUGAUGGAGCAACGCCGCGUGAGUGAAGAAGGUUUUCGGAUCGUAAAGCUCUGUUGUUGGUGAAGAAAGAUAGUGAGAGUAACUGCUCAUUAUUUGCCGGUAAUCAACCAGAAAGUCACGGCUAACUACGUGCCAGCAGCCGCGGUAAUACGUAGGUGGCAAGCGUUGUCCGGAUUUAUUGGGCGUAAAGCGAGCGCAGGCGGAAAGAUAAGUCAGAUGUGAAAGCCCUCGGCUUAACCGAGGAAUAGCAUCGGAAACUGUCUUUCUUGAGUGCAGAAGAGGAGAGUGGAA
rnacentral:rRNA from 1 species